AAUUAAUAUUAAUCAAUAUAACAAAAAAUAUUUUAACCAUAUGGUCCUUUCGUACUAAUAUGGAUUAACAAUCUUAGGACAGAAACCGACCUGGCUCACGCCGGUCUGAACUCAGAUCAUGUAAGAAUUUAAAGGUCGAACAGACCUAAUCAUUGGGCUCCUGCACCCAAAAUUUUUCUUAAUCCAACAUCGAGGUCGCAAUCUGCUUUGUCGAUAUGAGCUCUCAAAAACAAUUACGCUGUUAUCCCUAAGGUAACUUAAUCUUAUGAUCAUAAAUUAUGGAUCAAAAUAACAAACAUAAAUAAAUGAUAUAAUAAUGAAGAGUUUAUCUAUUCUUCAUGUCACCCCAACAAAACAUCAUCAUUAAAUAUAGAAAGACAAACAAAAAACUAUAUAAAAGUAAAAUGUCAAGCUCUAUAGGGUCUUCUCGUCCUAAAGAAGAAUUUAAGCCUUUUGACUCAAAAGUUAAAUUCAAAAAUUUAUUAAGAGACAGUUGGUUUCUCGUCAAGCCAUUCAUUCCAGCCACUAAUUAAGAGACUAAUGAUUAUGCUACCUUUGCACGGUCAAAAUACCGCGGCUCUUUAAAAAUACGCUCAGUGAGCAGGCCAGACCUCAAAAUAUAAACAAGAGGACAUGUUUUUGAUAAACAGGCGGAAAUCAAUUUUGCCUAGUUCCUUAUAAUAAGUUCACAAGGUAAAAAUUUCAUACAAAUAAAUAUACUAAUUCUAUCAUUAUUACAAAAAUUUUAAAAUUAAAUUAAUAAUCUUAAUAAAAAACCUAAAAUAUUUAUAAAAUCAAAAUAAAAAAUAAUGAACUAAAACGUAAUCUUAAAGAUAGCUGGUUUAAAGCUUACUAUUAUAUUUCUAUAAAAUAAAUUAUAGGUUAUUAACUUCAAAGCUUAUCCCUUAAAGAAUAAAUAAGUUAAUAUUUUUACUUAAAAAAUUAAAUAAAAACAAAUAACUUUAAAAAAUUAAAUUUUUUCUUAAGAAACUAGAUAUCUUGGGAAACGAUUAACAUCUCAUUUCUAUAAAUAAUUUAAUAAUAAUUAUGAUACAUUAACUAUAAAUUAUUUAUAAAUCAACCCAAAUCGAGACAAGUAAAAUAAAUACUAAAAUUUUGAUAAACCCUGAUACAAAAGGUACAAUAAAU